rnacentral:rRNA from 1 species
UACGGGGGGGGCAAGCGUUGUUCGGAAUUACUGGGCGUAAAGGGCGCGUAGGCGGUCUGCUAAGUUGGAUGUGAAAACUCUGGGCUUAACCCAGAGCCUGCAUUCAAUACUGACAGGCUAGAGUUCUGGAGGGGAUAGCGGAAUUCCUGGUGUAGCGGUGAAAUGCGUAGAUAUCAGGAGGAACACCAGUGGCGAAGGCGGCACUCUGGGCCGGUACUGACGCUGAGGAGCGAAAGCGUGGGGAGCGAACAGG